GUCUACGGCCAUACCAUCCUGAACAUACGUGAUCUCGUCUGAUCUUGGAAGCUAAGCAGGGUCAGGCCUGGUUAGUACUUGGAUGGGAGAAACCAACCUUCCACCUGCACUGCCAGGCUUUCUGGAGC
rnacentral:rRNA from 1 species